UGAAAAUGUGCAUGAUGAGAUAAUGCAUACACCCCUUCAAGGAUCUGCUACUACAUAGUUUCCUGUACACCAGACCAUAAACUAGGAUUAAUUGACAACAUAACUUUUCAAGUGUCUGCACACCUCAUUCCUCGUGGUCAUGAGACAAGAACUCAGAACUUGCUGAAAUGCAGGAGUGAAAGAGCUGUAUCACUCCAUCCUGCUGAACUAUGGGAGUGAAGAAGCCACAGUAGGACUUUACUAGAAGGGGGAUUGGAGAACAUAAUCUUUCCAAAAGGAACACCUGGAAUACUCACUUCGUCAAGUCUCUGCAGACCAAAACAUUGUGAUCACUGCUAACCAUACCCACCUUAAAGAUAC